GGGGUUGUAGCUCAGUGGUAGAGCACAUGCCUUUUGUUCAUGAGGCACUGGGUUCAAUCCUCAGCACCA
rnacentral:tRNA from 1 species